GAGAAGAUCAAACCUCCAGUGAAUCCACAGCAGCUUUUGAGUUCCUCAUGUCCUGAUCCCUUUGCCUUCUCCAGGUUUUGUUCCAGCCUGUGCUCUGGCUCACUGCAAAUACACCAGGCCACGCCUGAGACUUUUUGGUUGUUACUGGUUGCUUCUGCUUUCUUCUUCCCUUUUUUUUCCCUUUCUCUCCUGCUAAUGCAGUCACUUCCCUGAAGUGGCUGAGGUUGUUAUUCCUGCCAAGGGAAGGAGGGCACACAGAGCCUUCUGUGCACAGAGCGCUCGCCUUGGCCCAGGCACAAAUGGGAGCUUUUCUUUCCUCCUGUUCAGAAGGCACCAAUAAUGAGGUGCUUGGCCAUGGAAACUGGAACCGCUUCAGCUUCUGCAAGAAGGACUCACUGUUUGCAGGCUCAGCGUUAUUUCCCACAGCACACGGCUGGUUUUGAAUCACACACCAGGAUCUGGGAAGGAAAGAGGAGGAGAGAAGGGUGAAUAACUGCAUUGGAUUUUCUAACUACAAAUUCUUUCUACUGUUCUUAGCCUAUUCUUUGUUGUAUUGCUUGUAUAUUGCUGCAACAGUCUUCAAGUAUUUCAUUAAGUAUUGGACAGUAA